AGGAACAAAAUGAAAAAGAUAAUACUAAGAGGUUCUUAUUUCAUUAUUCAAAGACAGAGAAGUCAGGAAACUCAAAUAUUGUGUCUUCUGUCGUGCAUCCGUUGCUGCAGCUGGUUCCUCAACUGCAUGAGAGAAGAAUGAAGAGAUUCAAGGUAGCCG